UGAAUUGGCUGACUGCAAACUUCCUUUCUGUUUUUUCGUGAAUUCUACUAAAGAAGCUGAUGCAUUACACAGUGGUGGAAACUUGGAAGACAUUCAAUCUCCUGAUCAGAAGGCUAAUAUCUCUGCAGAAAUUUUUGAGCUGAUUAAGAGUAACUUGUGCCAUAAAGAGGUACGGACCAGUUUUGAAAAAGCAGGAUUCAAUAUUCAGAUGCAAGAUGUUGUUCAUGACAGGAUUCGUCAGUUAGAUGGGAAUGCUGAUCCUGAAAGUGCUCCAAGAAUUACGUAU